UAGAGUAUGUUUCGUAGAGUGGUCAGC
rnacentral:piRNA from 1 species